rnacentral:lncRNA from 1 species
CGGUUGCUUUCAUUCGUUUGCUGUUGUUGAGUUUUUGGUUUUGCCAUUUGAAAAAGGAUUUUUGUUUAGUUUUACUUUCAGCUCGAUAUCGUUGUUGUUUUAUUUUUUUAUACCAAUUGUGCGGGGAGCGUAGAUUUUGUCAAUGCUUUAUCUAUGAUGAUAGUAUAUAUCUAGCUUAUUACUGACUUGUUGGUCAUCUUCUUAUUAUCUUAUAUCCUGUUUUAUAUACUGGCAGGGACUUGAAUAAACAUUUUUCAAUUAUCAUGUUUAUAACGAUUUCCAUUGAAAUGUCAAUUUUUAAAGUGAUUUGUUGGUUGCAAACAAUGCUUGUCAAUUCAGGAUAUAGAUAACGUAAGACGUACGUGUAAUUGAUUGUGUAAAUUAAGGC